rnacentral:tRNA from 1 species
GCGGGAGUAACUCAGUUGGUAGAGUUCCUGCAUCCCAAGUCCUUCUAGUGGAAGGAUCGCGGGUUCGAGUCCCGUCUCCCGCUCCA